rnacentral:misc_RNA from 1 species
GAUGAAGAACGUAGUGAAAUGCGAUAAGUAAUGUGAAUUGCAGAAUUUAGUGAAUCAUCGAAUCUUUGAACGCACCUUGCGCCCUUUGGCCAUUCCGAAGGGCAUGCCUGUUUGAGUAUCAUGAACACCUCAACUCUUCAUGGUUUUCCGUGAUGAGCUUGGACUUUGGGGGUCUUGCUGGCCUAUGGUCAGCUCCUCUAAAAUAAAUCAGCUUGCCAGUGUUUGGUGGGUAUCACAGGUGUGAUAGCUAUCUAAGCUUGUGGUUUUCCACCAGGUAACCUUCAGCAGUGGAGGUUCGCUGGAGCUCACAGAUGUGUCUCUCCUCAGUGAGGACAGCUCUUUGAAUGUUUGAUCUCAAAUCAGGUAGGACUACCCGCUGAACUUAAGCAUAUCAAUAAGCGGAGGA